rnacentral:misc_RNA from 1 species
CACCACUCAAGCCUGGCUUGGUGUUGGGCGACGUCCCCUUUUGGGGACGCGCCUCGAAACGCUCGGCGGCGUGGCACCGGCUUUAAGCGUAGCAGAAUCUUUCGCUUUGAAAGUUGGGGCCCCGUCUGCCGGAAGACCUACUCGUAA